rnacentral:lncRNA from 1 species
CUUGCAAAUAUUUUUUUUCAAAUAACAAUAAUGAUAAUCAAUAAUAACAAUUCAAUUGACCAUAAAAUCUCUUUUUAUUCAUAAAAUUUGGAAGGAUUACACUAAGUACAAUUUCAUAAACCAAAAUAUGAAUACAAGAGAGAAGGAAAUUAUCAUCCUAUGGAUCCCUAGCAACUGCAUCAGGUGAUCUGGCCAAGGGAGUAUACUUCCUUCAGAUGCGUCGAAUCUCUGACUUAAAGGAUGUCUUCAUCUGAGCCUUCUCGAGGAUAAGUCGG